GACGAACGCUGGCGGCGUGCCUAACACAUGCAAGUCCACGAGAAAGCGGUAGCAAUACUGCCGGUAAAGUGGCGAACGGGUGAGUAACACGUAGGUAACUUGCCCUUGGGACUGGAAUAACCUCGAGAAAUCUGGGCUAAUACCGGAUAAUGCAGCGGACCCGCAUGGGUAUGUUGUUAAAGUGGUCUUGGCUUGCCAAGUUCACACCUAAGGAUGGACCUGCGUCCCAUUAGCUCGUGGUGAGGUAACGGCUCACCAAGGCGACGAUGGGUAGCCGGCCUGAGAGGGUGUCCGGCCACACUGGGACUGAGAUACGGCCCCAGACUCCUACGGGAGGCAGCAGUGAGGAAUAUUGGUCAAUGGCCGAAAGGCUGAACCAGCAACGCCGCGUGAGGGAU
rnacentral:rRNA from 1 species